UACGAAGGGGGCUAGCGUUGCUCGGAAUCACUGGGCGUAAAGCGCACGUAGGCGGAUCUUUAAGUCAGGGGUGAAAUCCCGGAGCUCAACUUCGGAAUUGCCUUUGAUACUGUUGGUCUCGAGUCCGGAAGAGGUGGGUGGAAUUCCUAGUGUAGAGGUGAAAUUCGUAGAUAUUAGGAAGAACACCGGUGGCGAAGGCGGCCCACUGGUCCGGUACUGACGCUGAGGUGCGAAAGCGUGGGGAGCAAACAGG
rnacentral:rRNA from 1 species